GGGAAAUCCUGGCAGUGUCAAAGCCGGUGCCAAAACCUCCCUGAUUGCAGCAAUGCCGGGAUCUCACCAGAUGUCUGGAUUGUUUAUCCAUCUGGGGGUUUCUUGCCCGGGUUGUUUGCUGGCCGGCCUUGACCUUCCAGGGGAGCCAGGGCUCCUCUUCCACCCCCGCAGGAGAAGGGCUGUUUCUGACGCAGCUCCGGCCCCCAGCCCCAUCUCUGGCUGACGUAUCUCUGGCGUUUUCAGCGUGUGACAUCCAGAGAGGAAGAGAAGUGUCUCAUCCGGCUGUGGCUGUCCUUGCCUUUCCGCUCCUGCCACCCAGACCUGGCACUGGGCUCCCCAGCGACCAUCUGCCUCCCGCUCUGGAGGGAGCGCUGCUCCACGGAGCGCCCAGACAGACAGACCUAUGCGAAAAGAUGGUGCGAGCCUCGAGGAACCUAGUUGUUAAGGAGAGACAGGAAUAUGCAAGUAAUUUAAUUUUUCAUGCAAAACUCUGCUAGGAACUACUAGACUUUCCAAAAUGUAUUCCAAAGAAAUGCAGAGAUAGAUUCCCGACCGGCAUUAAUCAGUGCUGAUUAAGUCAUGAAGCUACCCAAUUUCUGCCUGGUGCUUGUUUGAGGCUUUGGGUCUUGGAACACACCAGGACUAGGACUGCACUGCGACUGUGUCCCUGUCCCUACAACCUGCCACUGUCAGGAGAAGCUGUUUACUGCAGGAGAGGUGGAGCUGCCUCUACAGUGAUACAAGGAGAUAGGGUUAGCACAAGCCAAGUAAAAACACGUUGCACUAAUGGUGCAGAGGUUUGAGAGAGUGUGCAAAGCACAGGCUCCUGGGAAAUGGACAUUGUCACAUGUGGCUCGUUAGCACACUGAAGCUUUGACCUAGCAAAUAUUUACAUGCACUUAAGUGCACAUUUGAAAGGGCUAAAUAUACACCUGCUCCCUGCUUCAGCUGCCAGACAUCUCUAGACUCUGCAUUUGGUGCAAAUGUCUUUGACUCAAAAACAUAUGCUGCAGUUUUGCUGAAGAGGUAGGUGUAUUUUUAUAAUGGUUUGGUGCUGUUAUUGUAAAAGGAAGCUUUUUUUUGAGUCCUUCUCUCAACAUGUCAUAGAGUAUCCAGCCAGCAUCCUGAGCCAUGUUUGACUGGAGAGACUCAAGAGAAUUUUGGGCUUCUCCCCCUCUCCAGCUUCCUUUCCUCUCUGCAGAGCCAGGUACUUUGGAAAUACUGACAUGACCAUGAGGUCAGCAAGAGGCUCCUCCUCCCCUGCCACGAGCUCCCACUGCAGCCUGAGCAUCCCUGCCUGUGGACCACCUCCACCACCAGACAGCAGCCCCAAAGAGCCUCACCUGAUCUCCUCAAUCGGUCUCUGGGGGCAAUAGGCCCCGGCACCUCAGGAAGAAGUGAUUUCACAGCUCCUGCCUGGCUGCCAUGCCAGCCCUGCCUCUCCUGCCAUGGGACUGCCAGCCUGGGGAGCACUUUUCACCCUCACUGACAUCACUGCUCUGCUGAGCACCCAGCCACCUCCUCCUCCCCUCCCUUCUCACUUGGCAUGCUGUCAUCCAAACUCACUGGGGAGCUUCAGGAUUUUUUAUUCUCUGGUGGGAAGUUUCAUUUUACCCUUUCAAGUGGGACAAGAACAGAUAUUAGAUUUGUUGACGAUGAAGUUCUUUCAACUGAAUUCAACAAAAGAGGUACAAUGAAAAGAUUGCAGCUGUUGAACAAAACACCACACCUAUUACAGAGUUCAUAUGCAUUUACAAGGGACACAUCAGUGAAGGCUCUCCUCACUCUUGAAGAUGUACCCUCCCUCCACAGAAAACUUGUUAAUCUCUCCCUCAUCUCUGCUUGCAGUACAUGCCCUUGGGAGAACGAGGUGUUUGACUGUCUUGCCAGAUCUUGCAAUGAUAUAACUGCUAUUAGCAGUCCUAGAUUAUCUUCAACAUCUUGAGAGCUGUUACAAAAUUCAGAUGAAGAGUGCAGAACUCACCCUCUAGGUGCAAAGCCACAGGUCCCCUGCUCCCAGGACAUUAGAGAUGCCUUUCUCACCUUGCUGGAUUCCACAUGCAGAGCUCCAGGUGCACCACUGAGGCUCUGAGUUUGAGUUUCAGAGCACUUCUGUGGACAAGUGGAGUCAUUCAGCAAAGCCUGCAGCAAAACCGUGGAAAUUUUUCAUUGACUUCUGCACAACUCAGCAUUUGCUUUGCACUAAUGAAUGAAGUAAAUGUUCAGCUGAUUACUUCAUGCAGCUUCUACUCCCAGUAUUAAACCAUUGCUUCAUUCUCUAUUCCUGUGCCCUUACCAAAUAGUAGUAGAUUAUUUUGUGGGAUAACCUCAUUUUCCUUCCUUUCUUCCGGUGCCUUUCUAAGGCAGACCUGGAGCUGGCAGAAAAAAAAGGCACAACCAAUGAGCUAGACCUCAUUAGAGCAUAAAGGGAUUUUAGACUCCUUCCUCAUCCCAAGUGGCUUUAGCAGUUUCCUUUUAUUCUUUAACAUUGUAUUAUUUACACAGCUGCUCCACUAACUUUUUCUUGUUAUAUACUUAUUUGUUUCUUCCUAUUUUUUAAAAUUCUAAAUUUCUCUCUUUAGGUUUUAGAAAAGCAUCAAUUUAUUUUUACUGCUUCAAAAAAUUAUUUGCUUGUAAUUAAACCUGUAAAUCUAACAGUG